rnacentral:rRNA from 1 species
UUGGAAGUAAAAGUCGUAACAAGGUUUCCGUAGGUGAACCUGCGGAAGGAUCAUUACCGAGUGAGGGCCCUCUGGGUCCAACCUCCCACCCGGUGUUUAUUUUACCUUGGUUGCUUCGGCGGGCCCGCCUUAACUGGCCGCCGGGGGGCUUACGCCCCCGGGCCCGCGCCCGCCGAAGACACCCUCGAACUCUGUCUGAAGAUUGUAGUCUGAGUGAAAAUAUAAAUUAUUUAAAACUUUCAACAACGGAUCUCUUGGUUCCGGCAUCGAUGAAGAACGCAGCGAAAUGCGAUACGUAAUGUGAAUUGCAAAUUCAGUGAAUCAUCGAGUCUUUGAACGCACAUUGCGCCCCCUGGUAUUCCGGGGGGCAUGCCUGUCCGAGCGUCAUUGCUGCCCUCAAGCACGGCUUGUGUGUUGGGCCCCGUCCUCCGAUCCCGGGGGACGGGCCCGAAAGGCAGCGGCGGCACCGCGUCCGGUCCUCGAGCGUAUGGGGCUUUGUCACCCGCUCUGUAGGCCCGGCCGGCGCUUGCCGAUCAACCCAAAUUUUUAUCCAGGUGACCUCGAUCAG